GAACAAGAAAUGAUUCUAGACCAGCAAAAUACAAUUAUGAGAAUCCUACAGUCAACACAUCGCCCAAGGCCUGAUGUCCAUGAUGGGGCCAAGUUCAGAGAUCGUCUUCCUGUCAAAGAUGUAGAGUCUCUCCAGUGCCUGGAGGCUGAGCUGAAGAUGAACCCUGAUUCUAAAGCAGAAUUGACUACCUAUCUGGGUCUGGUUGGUGGCUUUGACCUGUAAGACACCGUGUGGAGAGUGCUGAAAGCAACUUUUACAACUGCUGUGGCACGUGGUAUGAAUUGGAGAGGAGUCAAUGGGAAGAUUGGUGUCCAACGCCUGGUCAUAACGGAAGAACCUCAUUGGUGCAGUCAGGCAGAAUCCCCUUACUGCAAAAGCCUCAAAUAAAGACAUUGAAAUCAACAUAAUUAAAGGUUAAAUGAAUGAGGAAGCGGGAGGCCCAACAAAAUGCUGCCGACCAUCAUUAAGCACAUCAAAACCACAUCAAAACCCUGUAAAUCACAAAUCAAUUUCUCAAUUGUUCAAUUCAAGUUCUCUGUACAAGUUACUCCGAUUUUUUUUUCUGUGAUUUUUAUUACUGAGUUGAAUACAUUCUUAAAUGUAUGCAUGUUUAUAACU